AAUACAAGUAAAUACUUAAGUCCACCUUUUUGCCACUGUCAUAUGCAUGAAGUCAGUUUGUAAAUUUAACAUUGGACCUUCCACUGGAGGUAACUGUGGUAUGGUAGUAUUAACUCUUGCACAUGUUAAGCACCUGGAUAAAAUAUUGGUAACGGUCUGAUCUAACCUGUUAAUUACAAAUAGUUAAUUUAGCAUAGCCAAUACCCCUCUUCGUCCGACAUGUCCAUAGCCAUGGAACUGUCGGACGAGUAACACUGAAGAAGCUUGAGGGAUUGCUAUGCAACCUUUAGGCUCUUUGAGGAUACCAGAAUUUGCAUCAGGUGUAACAAAAUGUUUACUCUAGUAAGCUAAGUCAUCCGAAGAUGAUGCAGCCUGCAUAGAAAGAAUAUCAAUGUCAUCAGUAUGAGUGGCUAUAUGCAGUUAAGACCUGGUCACAAGAAACAGUACUGUAAUCUGGCCAUAAGGGAAAAGAGGCAGCCGCCCUUUUCGCCACCAAAUCUGCAAAAUCAUUACCAUCCUUGACCAUGGAGUGAUCUGUAUCAUAGCCCUUGCACUUCACAAUAGCUAAAGAUGUAGGUAACAGUAUGGCCCUCAAUAAUCCAUCAAUUAAUGCAAAAUGAGAAACAGUUCGACCAUCAGCUGCAACAAAACCUCUAGCCUGCCAAAUGACACCAAAAUCAUGAACCACUCCAAAGGCAUAUCUCAAAUCAGUAUAAAUAGUCACAUCUUGAUCUUUAAAAGCAAUACAAGCUUGUGUAAGAGCAAUCAACUCCGCCUGCGCUGAGACAAAAGGUAAAGAACCUACAGUUAUUACACUAUUAGGUAUUUGUACAACUGCAAAACCACAAAGGAAAAUAAACCAAUAACUGAUUUCAAAACUCUGACACAAAAUCUUGCUCAGCCCAGAAAUACACAGAACCAACCUACAUCAGUACCAGGUCUAUCAUGUUUAGUGUCCAAAUUAAGAGCCAUUUCUGUU